UUGGAUUGGUAUGUCAUUAUUUUUUGGAUUAGGAGUCAAAUUAAAAUAUGAGAAAACCUACUUUGAGCCAAUGCCAAUGUAUAUAUUCAACUGCUAGCUUACUUAUCUCAAAUCCAUGAGCUAGUGCUCCAAAAAGGACCCCACUCCACGGCCAUGGGAAUGGAAUUGUCGCCCUUUCGUGCACAGGGAAAAAUACGGUGGCUAAUGAGAGGCAUAAUCAAGUGCCCAUAUUGCACACACAAUUGAUGCCAAUGCCCGGAACACGGCCAAUAAAUAUCAACAGCCACACAAAUUUGCCUGUUGGCCAACUGGCAACUUCAAAAAUGAAAAGAAAAAACGAGAAAACCAAAAAAAAAGAGGUAAAAUAACCGAAGCCGUGAGCCAAGAGAGCCGCCAACAAAAGCGCACAUAAAUCAACGAUCAAGACAAUUGCGGUGUAAUAAUUUUAACUUCUUUAAGUCGGCAGCCAGCCCACACCGCACACCACGGCGCACCACCCUGCACCACCCUGCGCCACUCUGCACCACCGACUCCACUGCCAGGCGAUCCGAUUCGGCGGGGGCCCAUAAAAAUAACAGCUUAUCGGCCAGAAGAAUCGUGUCGUGCCACGCCUACCAACUCAAAAAGGCAUUAAAAUAUGAAAACAACAAUUGCACACUCGCCGGAGCUCACCUCCGAGGGGAGCUCACCUCCGGGGGAAAUCAACAGCAGUCUGGGAGUCACAGAGUGGCCGACACGCCCCCUUUUCCUCAUUCAUCGCGAGGCGAGUCGAGUAAGAGGCCAAAACCGAAGAUAUAUGGGUGUAUCAGGAGUGGCCCCUCACCCGCGCCGCCCACUGUCCUUGCCCCAUUGUUCCACCGAAGGCGGAUGAAAGUCGGGGGAGGGAUCGGUUUCGUGCGGCAGCGGGCAGUUACAACUUAGUUAGCCCAGCCAGAAUUGCAGGCGAUAUCUCAAUUUGGGGCUCAUAAAAAUGGCGAGUAAUAGGCCAUGUCCAAAGCGGGUCUUAAAAAUGUAGUACGACCGGGGGAUACUCUAAGAGUACCUUAAGUAAAUAUCAAUAAAUUAAUUAAUUUUAGAUACUAUUAGGA